ACACUUCAUUCAUUUAAUUGAUGUGACAUAUGAUAUGGACAUGCCACAUCAUGUGGUAUAGAAAUAUGGGAUAAAAAUGUGGUAAAUGUAGUAUUACUCUUUUUGAAUUGAGUAAUGCUACACUUACCACAUUAUUAUCCCACAUGAUGUGGCAUAUUCAUAUCAUAUGCCACAUCAAUUAAAUGAAUGAAGUGU
rnacentral:miRNA from 1 species